rnacentral:rRNA from 2 species
CUAUACAUGCAAGUCGAGCGAAUGGAUUAAGAGCUUGCUCUUAUGAAGUUAGCGGCGGACGGGUGAGUAACACGUGGGUAACCUGCCCAUAAGACUGGGAUAACUCCGGGAAACCGGGGCUAAUACCGGAUAACAUUUUGAACCGCAUGGUUCGAAAUUGAAAGGCGGCUUCGGCUGUCACUUAUGGAUGGACCCGCGUCGCAUUAGCUAGUUGGUGAGGUAACGGCUCACCAAGGCAACGAUGCGUAGCCGACCUGAGAGGGUGAUCGGCCACACUGGGACUGAGACACGGCCCAGACUCCUACGGGAGGCAGCAGUAGGGAAUCUUCCGCAAUGGACGAAAGUCUGACGGAGCAACGCCGCGUGAGUGAUGAAGGCUUUCGGGUCGUAAAACUCUGUUGUUAGGGAAGAACAAGUGCUAGUUGAAUAAGCUGGCACCUUGACGGUACCUAACCAGAAAGCCACGGCUAACUACGUGCCAGCAGCCGCGGUAAUACGUAGGUGGCAAGCGUUAUCCGGAAUUAUUGGGCGUAAAGCGCGCGCAGGUGGUUUCUUAAGUCUGAUGUGAAAGCCCACGGCUCAACCGUGGAGGGUCAUUGGAAACUGGGAGACUUGAGUGCAGAAGAGGAAAGUGGAAUUCCAUGUGUAGCGGUGAAAUGCGUAGAGAUAUGGAGGAACACCAGUGGCGAAGGCGACUUUCUGGUCUGUAACUGACACUGAGGCGCGAAAGCGUGGGGAGCAAACA